rnacentral:misc_RNA from 1 species
CUGAAUUUGAAAUUAGAAAUGGCAGCUCUCUUGAAGUCUCUUUGCUUUGUGAUUUUUCUUGUAAUAAUAGGAAUUGCCAGGUUUAAUCGAGUUGAUGGGGCUGGAGAAUGUGGGAAAUCCACCACUCCUGACAGAGAAGCUUUCAAGCUGGCACCCUGUGCAUCGGCAGCCCAAGAUGAAAAUGCUGCAGUUUCUGCCCAAUGCUGUGCUCAAGUAAAAAAAAUUGGCCAGAACCCAGCCUGUCUUUGUGCUGUUAUGCUUUCUAAUACAGCUAAGAGUUCGGGAGUCAAUCCAGAAAUUGCAGUCACCAUUCCCAAACGUUGCAACAUUGCUGAUCGUCCUGUGGGCUACAAGUGUGGAGCUUAUACACUGCCUUGAAGAGCAACAUCAGUCGUGUGGUGUUAUGUAGUAAUACUUGCUUCUACGAAUGUGCUGGACUCUGCAACCUGGUAGCUAGUUCUUUCUAGCUAACAAAUAUACUCUACAUCCAGGAUCUGAUAAUAAAUAUAAUAUUAAUGCUUAAUAUUCUGUCUGAGCACUCGUUUGCU